GACGAACGCUGGCGGCGUGCCUAAUACAUGCAAGUUGAGCGCUGAAGGUUGGUACUUGUACCAACUGGAUGAGCAGCGAACGGGUGAGUAACGCGUGGGGAAUCUGCCUUUGAGCGGGGGACAACAUUUGGAAACGAAUGCUAAUACCGCAUAAAAACUUUAAACACAAGUUUUAAGUUUGAAAGAUGCAAUUGCAUCACUCAAAGAUGAUCCCGCGUUGUAUUAGCUAGUUGGUGAGGUAAAGGCUCACCAAGGCGAUGAUACAUAGCCGACCUGAGAGGGUGAUCGGCCACAUUGGGACUGAGACACGGCCCAAACUCCUACGGGAGGCAGCAGUAGGGAAUCUUCGGCAAUGGACGAAAGUCUGACCGAGCAACGCCGCGUGAGUGAAGACGGUUGUCGGAUCGUAAAACUCUGUUGGUAGAGAAGAACGUUGGUGAGAGUGGAAAGCUCAUCAAGUGACGGUAACUACCCAGAAAGGGACGGCUAACUACGUG
rnacentral:rRNA from 1 species